rnacentral:rRNA from 1 species
GUAACUGCGAGUGAAGAGGGAAGAGCUCAUCAUUGGAAUCUGGCAGCGUCUCGCUGUCCGAGUUGUAGAUGAGAAGAGUGGGCCAUCUGGACUGCAUGGUGUCCAAGUACAAUAGGCCGUCAGUGGGACAUCAUAGAGGGUGACAAUCCCGUCCUUGACACCAAUGUACGAGUCCUUUACGAUGCCUAUCUCGGAGAGUCGAGCAGUUUGGGAUUUGCUGCUUAAACAUGGGAGGUAGAUUCCUUCCAAAGCUAAAUACAGGCAAGAGACCGAUAGAGAACAAGUACCGCAAGGGAAAGAUGAAAUAGAACUCUGUGAAGGGAGUCAAAAGACGUGAAAUUGUUGCGAGAGAAGCGAUUCAAGUCAGCGUAGCUGGGCCCAUCAAGCCUCGCGCUUUGGACCAGCUUUGCCAGCGGUCUUGUCCUAGAGACUCCACUAAGGUGCCCUGCCCGGUCUGACGGGCAGACCUCUCCCCUGGGGAGGCCAGCGGCACGGCUGGUGGAAUGGCUUGCAAUCGACCCGUCUUGAAACACGGACCAAGGAGUCUAACAUGCAUGCGAGUAUAAGGGUGGCAAACCCGUAUGCGCAAAGAAAGUGAUAGCCUAUGGCUGUGAAUGACCUGAUGACCAGACAAGCAAUAUCAUGUUCCUCGUACGGUCAUUGCCCAAGUCCCGUGGUCAGAUCCCAUGGACAUGGAGUUGGAGCGUGCAUGCUAGGACCCGAAAGAUGGUGAACUAUGCCUGGACAAAGCGAAGCCAAAGGAAACUCUGGUGGAGGCUUGUAGCGAUUCUGACGUGCAAAUCGAUCGUCUGAUCUGGGUAUAGGGG